GAUGAACGCUGGCGGCGUGCCUAAUACAUGCAAGUCGAGCGAACAGACGAGGAGCUUGCUCCUCUGACGUUAGCGGCGGACGGGUGAGUAACACGUGGAUAACCUACCUAUAAGACUGGGAUAACUUCGGGAAACCGGAGCUAAUACCGGAUAAUAUAUUGAACCGCAUGGUUCAAUAGUGAAAGACGGCUUUGCUGUCACUUAUAGAUGGAUCCGCGCCGCAUUAGCUAGUUGGUAAGGUAACGGCUUACCAAGGCAACGAUGCGUAGCCGACCUGAGAGGGUGAUCGGCCACACGGGAACUGAGACAGGGUCCAGACUCCUACGGGAGGCAGCAGUAGGGAAUCUUCCGCAAAGGGCGAAAGCCUGACGGAGCAACGCCGCGUGAGUGAUGAAGGUCUUCGGAUCGUAAAACUCUGUUAUUAGGGAAGAACAAAUGUGUAAGUAACUAUGCACGUCUUGACGGUACCUAAUCAGAAAGCCACGGCUAACUACGUG
rnacentral:rRNA from 1 species